UGCAACUCGCCUGCAUGAAGUCGGAAUUGCUAGUAAUCGCAGAUCAGCAUGCUGCGGUGAAUACGUUCCCGGGCCUUGUACACACCGCCCGUCACACCAUGGGAGUCGGUAACACCCAAAGUUGGUAGCCUAACCGCAAGGAGGGCGCCGCCUAAGGUGGGAUUGAUGACUGGGGUGAAGUCGUAACAAGGUACC
rnacentral:rRNA from 1 species